UUAGAAAGAAUACCAAUUGCGAAGGCAGCUUUCUGGAUCAUUACUGACACUGAGGAACGAAAGCAUGGGUAGCGAAGAGGAUUAGAUACCCUCGUAGUCCAUGCCGUAAACGAUGUGUGUUAGACGUUGGAAAUUUAUUUUCAGUGUCGCAGGGAAACCGAUAAACACACCGCCUGGGGAGUACGACCGCAAGGUUAAAACUCAAAUGAAUUGACGGGGACCCGCACAAGUAGUGGAGCAUGUGGUUUAAUUCGAAGAUACGCGCAGAACCUUACCAACACUUGACAUGUUCGUUGUGACUUUAAGAGAUUAGAGUUUUCGGUUCGGCCGGACGAAACACAGGUGCUGCAUGGCUGUCGUCAGCUCGUGUCGUGAGAUGUUGGGUUAAGUCCCGCAACGAGCGCAACCCUCACUUUUAGUUGCCAUCAUUAAGUUGGGCACUCUGAAAGAACUGCCAGUGAUAAGCUGGAGGAAGGUGGGGAUGACGUCAAGUCCUCAUGGCCCUUACGUGUUGGGCUACACACGUGCUACAAUGGUAUCUACAACAGGAAGCAAAACUGCGAAGUUAAGCAAAUCCCUAAAAGAUACCUCAGUUCGGAUUGCACUCUGCAACUCGAGUGCAUGAAGCUGGAAUUACUAGUAAUCGUGGAUCAGCGUGCCACGGUGAAUGCGUUCCCGGGGUCUUGUACACACCGCCCGUCACACCAUGGGGAGUUGGUUCUACCUUAAGGGCAAGGUUUCAAACCCUUGACCACGGUAUAGUCAGCGACUGGGGGUGAAGUC
rnacentral:rRNA from 1 species